UGGCGGACGGGUGAGUAACGCGUGGGUAACCUGCCUCAUACAGGGGGAUAACAGUUAGAAAUGACUGCUAAUACCGCAUAAGACCACAGCACCGCAUGGUUCAGGGGUAAAAACUCCGGUGGUAUGAGAUGGACCCGCGUCUGAUUAGGUAGUUGGUGGGGUAACGGCCUACCAAGCCGACGAUCAGUAGCCGACCUGAGAGGGUGACCGGCCACAUUGGGACUGAGACACGGCCCAA
rnacentral:rRNA from 1 species